CAAAAACAUAGCUUGAUGAUACUACAUAUUAGGUGACUUCUGCCCAGUGAUUUUUUUUAAAAUAAAUAUUUAACGGCCGCAGUACUUUGACUGUGCUAAGGUAGCAUAAUAAUUUGACUUUUAAUUGUGGUCUGGAAUGAAAGGGAAAACAGAAAGUGGCUGUCUUAUAGUAAGUACUUUAAAUUUUUUAAUAAGGUGAAAAUACCUUAAAUUUUUACAUUAGACGAGAAGACCCUUAGAGUUUUUUAAAAAAAUGUUUUUGUUGGGGCGACAGAGUUACAUAAAACUUACUUUUUUUAUAUAAUAUAACAUACCGAUUAAAUAUAAAAGAUUAAACUACCUAAGGGAUAACAGCAUAAUUUCAAUUUAGAUUAUGACCUCGAUGUUGGAUUAGGGUAAAUAUUGAUUAACAGUAAAUAUUUCUUUGUUCUGUUCGAACUUUUUUCCCUA
rnacentral:rRNA from 1 species